rnacentral:misc_RNA from 1 species
GGGACCCUCCUUAUCAGUAAAAUUAAAGAGGAAUAUCCGGACCGAAUCAUGGCAACCUUCUCAGUGUUCCCCUCCCCUAAGGUAUCUGAUGCCGUAGUUGAACCUUACAACGCCACUUUGUCCGUUCAUCAACUGGUCGAGAACACAGAUGAAACAUUUUGCAUCGACAACGAGGCUUUGUACGACAUAUGUUUCCGCACCCUAAAGAUGAACACGCCUACAUACGGGGAUCUAAAUCAUCUUUUAUCAGCCACCAUGUCGGGUGUUACGACAUGUUUGAGGUUUCCAGGACAACUAAAUGCGGACUUACGGAAGCUCGCUGUCAAUAUGGUUCCGUUUCCCAGACUGCACUUCUUCAUAACAGGCUUUGCUCCAUUGACAUCAAGAGGAUGUCAACAAUAUCGAACAGUGUCUGUACCGGAACUCACGCAACAAAUGUUUGACGCCAGAAAUAUGAUGGCCGCCUGCGACCCUCGACAUGGAAGGUAUCUGACAGUGGCCGCCAUGUUUCGAGGUCGAAUGUCGAUGAAAGAGGUGGAUGAACAGAUGCUGAACGUUCAGAACAAGAACUCUGCUUACUUUGUGGAAUGGAUUCCAAAUAAUGUGAAGAUUGCGGUAUGCGACAUUCCACCUCGAGGACUCAAAAUGUCGGGAACAUUUGUUGGAAAUUCAACCUCUAUUCAGGAAAUAUUUAAACGAAUCUCUGAGCAGUUUUCGGCCAUGUUUAGACGCAAAGCUUUCUUGCACUGGUAUACAGGAGAGGGAAUGGACGAGAUGGAGUUUAUGGAGGCAGAAUCCAACAUGAACGACCUUGUUUCCGAAUACCAACAAUACCAGGAUGCCACUGUUGAGGACGAGGUUGAUGAUUUUGAAGGCGAUAUAGAAGAGGAGGAAGAGGAAGAAGAAUACUAGAAUUAAAAUUUCUCUGUGUUAUGAAAAUAAAUAUUAUUUAAG